AAGUCGUAACAAGGUCUCCGUAGGUGAACCUGCGGAGGGAUCAUUAACACGUUUUAAAACACGUUUUAACUAUAAACCAACCAACCACGUGAACUAUUUAACACUCCUGGAAGAGAAAGAAUUCUGUCUCCUCUCACUAAUGAUAAGUUUACAAGCAAUUGUAAACAGUGAGUUUAGACUAACAUUGCAGUUAAGAGCUGACUUGUAAAGACCUUUCACUUUUGGGCUAAAUGCUCCUAUUAUCAUUCGAGCGAAAACAACCCCUUUCACCAUUUCUAUAACUAUUGACUGAUCUUUUUCUUUGCAACAUAAGAAAAAACCUAAUCAAAUAUCUAAGCACAACUCUUAGCAACGGAUAUCUUGGUUCUC
rnacentral:misc_RNA from 1 species